rnacentral:rRNA from 1 species
AGAGUUUGAUCCUGGCUCAGGAUGAACGCUGGCGGCGUGCUUAACACAUGCAAGUCGAACGAACCUUCGGGUUAGUGGCGGACGGGUGAGUAACGCGUGAGGAUCUGCCCUCAGGAGGGGGAUAACGGCUGGAAACGGCCGCUAAUACCCCAUAUGCCGCGAGGUGAAAUGAAUUUCGCCUGAGGAUGAGCUCGCGUCUGAUUAGCUAGUUGGUGGGGUAAAGGCCUACCAAGGCAUCGAUCAGUAGCUGGUCUGAGAGGAUGAUCAGCCACACUGGGACUGAGACACGGCCCAGACUCCUACGGGAGGCAGCAGUGGGGAAUUUUCCGCAAUGGGCGAAAGCCUGACGGAGCAACGCCGCGUGAGGGAUGAAGGCCUCUGGGCUGUAAACCUCUUUUAUCAAGGAAGAAGAUCUGACGGCACUUGAUGAAUAAGCCACGGCUAAUUCCGUGCCAGCAGCCGCGGUAAUACGGGAGUGGCAAGCGUUAUCCGGAAUUAUUGGGCGUAAAGCGUCCGCAGGCGGCCCUUCAAGUCUGCUGUUAAAAAGUGGAGCUUAACUCCAUCAUGGCAGUGGAAACUGUUGGGCUUGAGUGUGGUAGGGGCAGAGGGAAUUCCCGGUGUAGCGGUGAAAUGCGUAGAUAUCGGGAAGAACACCAGUGGCGAAGGCGCUCUGCUGGGCCAUCACUGACGCUCAUGGACGAAAGCCAGGGGAGCGAAAGGGAUUAGAUACCCCUGUAGUCCUGGCCGUAAACGAUGAACACUAGGUGUCGGGGGAAUCGACCCCCUCGGUGUCGUAGCCAACGCGUUAAGUGUUCCGCCUGGGGAGUACGCACGCAAGUGUGAAACUCAAAGGAAUUGACGGGGGCCCGCACAAGCGGUGGAGUAUGUGGUUUAAUUCGAUGCAACGCGAAGAACCUUACCAGGGUUUGACAUCCUGCGAAUCUCUUGGAAACGAGAGAGUGCCUUCGGGAGCGCAGUGACAGGUGGUGCAUGGCUGUCGUCAGCUCGUGUCGUGAGAUGUUGGGUUAAGUCCCGCAACGAGCGCAACCCACGUCUUUAGUUGCCAGCAUUCAGUUGGGCACUCUAGAGAGACCGCCGGUGAUAAACCGGAGGAAGGUGUGGAUGACGUCAAGUCAUCAUGCCCCUUACAUCCUGGGCUACACACGUACUACAAUGCUACGGACAAAGGGCAGCAAGUUCGCGAGGACAAGCAAAUCCCAUAAACCGUGGCUCAGUUCAGAUCGUAGGCUGCAACUCGCCUACGUGAAGGAGGAAUCGCUAGUAAUCGCAGGUCAGCAUACUGCGGUGAAUACGUUCCCGGGCCUUGUACACACCGCCCGUCACACCAUGGAAGUUGGCCACGCCCGAAGCCGUUACUCCAACCCUUGUGGAGGAGGACGUCGAAGGUGGGGCUGAUGACUGGGGUGAAGUCGUAACAAGGUAACC